CGUGAGCGGCGGACGGGGGAGUAACGCGUGGGUAACUACCGUCAUACAGGGGAGUAACAGUUGGAAACGGCUGCUAAUACCGCAUAAGCGCACAGUACCGCAUGGUACCGUGUGAAAAACUCCGGUGGUAUGAGAUGGACCCGCGUCUGAUUAGCUAGUUGGUGGGGUAACGGCCUACCAAGGCGACGAUCAGUAGCCGACCUGAGAGGGUGACCGGCCACAUUGGGACUGAGACACGGCCCAA
rnacentral:rRNA from 1 species